AAAACAAAUACUAGUAGACAUAAAGGGAGAAAUUGACAGUAACACAAUAAUAGUAAGGGACUUAAACAUCCCACUCACAUCAAUAGGCAGGUCAUCCAGAAAGAAAAUAAGGAAACACUGACCUUAAGUGACACAUUAGACUAAAGAGACUUAAUAAAUAGAUAAUUUAAGAAAACUGAGAUUAUAUCAAGCAACUUUUCUCACCACAACGCUAUGGGACGAUAAAUAAACUACAAGAAAAAAUGCAAAAAAACAUAAACAUGUGGAGGCUAAACAAUACACUAGCAACAACCAGUGGAUCACUGAAGAAAUCAAAGAAGAAAUAAAAAAAUACCUGGAGACAAGUGAAAAUGUAAUCACACUGAUCUAAAAUCUAUGGGACACAGAAAAAGCAGUUCUAA